ACGCUGGCGGCGUGCCUAAUACAUGCAAGUAGAACGCUGAAGGAGGAGCUUGCUUCUCCGGAUGAGUUGCGAACGGGUGAGUAACGCGUAGGUAACCUGCCUGGUAGCGGGGGAUAACUAUUGGAAACGAUAGCUAAUACCGCAUAACAGUAGAUGUUGCAUGACAUUUGCUUAAAAGGUGCAAUUGCAUCACUACCAGAUGGACCUGCGUUGUAUUAGCUAGUUGGUGGGGUAACGGCUCACCAAGGCGACGAUACAUAGCCGACCUGAGAGGGUGAUCGGCCACACUGGGACUGAGACACGGUCCAGACUCCUACGGGAGGCAGCAGUAGGGAAUCUUCGGCAAUGGACGGAAGUCUGACCGAGCAACGCCGCGUGAGUGAAGAAGGUUUUCGGAUCGUAAAGCUCUGUUGUAAGAGAAGAACGAGUGUGAGAGUGGAAAGUUCACACUGUGACGGUAUCUUACCAGAAAGGGACGGCUAACUACGUGCCAGCAGCCGCGGUAAUACGUAGGUCCCGAGCGUUGUCCGGAUUUAUUGGGCGUAAAGCGAGCGCAGGCGGUUAGAUAAGUCUGAAGUUAAAGGCUGUGGCUUAACCAUAGUACGCUUUGGAAACUGUUUAACUUGAGUGCAAGAGGGGAGAGUGGAAUUCCAUGUGUAGCGGUGAAAUGCGUAGAUAUAUGGAGGAACACCGGUGGCGAAAGCGGCUCUCUGGCUUGUAACUGACGCUGAGGCUCGAAAGCGUGGGGAGCAAACAGGAUUAGAUACCCUGGUAGUCCACGCCGUAAACGAUGAGUGCUAGGUGUUAGACCCUUUCCGGGGUUUAGUGCCGCAGCUAACGCAUUAAGCACUCCGCCUGGGGAGUACGACCGCAAGGUUGAAACUCAAAGGAAUUG
rnacentral:rRNA from 1 species